rnacentral:tRNA from 1 species
AUCUCAGUAGCUCAGUUGGCAGAGCGGCGGUCUCCAAAACCGUAGGCCGAGGGUUCGAAUCCUUCCUGGGAUGCCA